rnacentral:rRNA from 1 species
UCGACGAAGUAGCAAUACUUAGUGGCAGACGGGUGAGUAACAUGUAGGUAUCUGCCCUUUGGCCUGGAAUAACACGAGGAAACUUGUGCUAAUACCGGAUAAGUCUUUACGGAGAAAGCUUUAUGCACCAUUGGAUGAGCCUGCACUUGAUUAGUUUGUUGGUGGGGUAAUGGCCUACCAAGACUGUGAUCAAUAGCUGAUUUGAGAGGAUGAUCAGCCACAUUGGGACUGAGACACGGCCCAAACUCCUACGGGAGGCAGCAGUGGGGAAUCUUGCACAAUGGAGGAAACUCUGAUGCAGCGAUGCCGCGUGAGUGAAGAAGGCCCUUGGGUUGUAAAGCUCUUUCGUCGGGGAAGAAAAUGACUGUACCCGAAUAAGAAGGUCCGGCUAACUUCGUGCCAGCAGCCGCGGUAAUACGAAGGGACCUAGCGUAGUUCGGAAUUACUGGGCUUAAAGAGUUCGUAGGUGGUUGAAAAAGUUAGUGGUGAAAUCCCAGAGCUUAACUCUGGAACUGCCAUUAAAACUUUUCAGCUAGAGUAUGAUAGAGGAAAGCAGAAUUUCUAGUGUAGAGGUGAAAUUCGUAGAUAUUAGAAAGAAUACCAAUUGCGAAGGCAGCUUUCUGGAUCAUUACUGACACUGAGGAACGAAAGCAUGGGUAGCGAAGAGGAUUAGAUACCCUCGUAGUCCAUGCCGUAAACGAUGUGUGUUAGACGUUGGAAAUUUAUUUUCAGUGUCGCAGGGAAACCGAUAAACACACCGC